UGGAUGGCCAGGAGUUCCCAGCCCUGCAGAUCCUUCUCUGGGUGAGACCCCUUUCGUGGGUUUGUUUCUCAGUCACGGUGAGUGUGGACCUGCUCUCUUAUCCUCACUUGCUGAUCUUGAGCUUUAGAACUUAAUCUGAAGCCUGCUGAAGGCAGAAGAGGUUUUCCUGGUGUGCUUAAUGCACCCAGCUUGGAAGCAUUGCCUUCCUCCUGCACUCAAUACCUGUUGCUGCUAUGUGCUUGUUUGUGCAGAUGCACGUCUCAUUUUAUUCCGGUUGCAGCAGUCCUCCCCUCAGCAGCACCCCCAGCGUCAGCACUGCCUAUUAACUGCCUAGUUUCCCACCCGACGCUUUUCAGAGCCUGAAUUUCUGUAGCCGGCAGCACACUAAGAUGUGGGCAGUCGUCAGGAUUAGCUGGGGCCAGCGGUCCUGGUUGAGAGGACAGGUUUCCUGCGGGAUAAAUCACCCUUGCUCAUCGCUCAGGCUGCCCAGCUGAGGUUACUGUUGCUUAGCUACAAGGCUCUAUAAAUACAGCCCAAGCCGCGGCAGAGCAGGCACUGAAGCGUUUCAGAUAUGACAAGACCCAAAGGAUGCUCAUCAGGGGACACGCAGGAACAUUACAGGUCCCAUAUGCUGAGGUUUUAGUGACCGUGACUGUUGGCUUCUAGCUUACACGGUGCUGGUUACAGGGGAGUGCACUGCCACUAGCUCUGCUUUUGCUGUAGCGGGGGUGUCGGCAGGAUGCGGCCGGGUUUGGGGGGGAAUUAUUGAAUAAAAGCCCUUGAAAGGGGGAAAGGAGGUAAGAGAGGCACUCCUUGAGGGCUUCUGCAAGGAAAAGCCCUAAUGAUCUCUGCAGUUGGUUUCUGGUACCUAAUGCAAUGCUGUGGAAAUGGGAAACGUUAGAGGGGUAUGAUGACAAUGCUACAAGGUAUUUGGGGGGGAAGGAUAAAGGCUGCUGAAGAGAACAACCUGCUGUAGCCUGUUCGUAUUUCUGAAAUUGUCUUAGCUUACAUGGUCAGCUCUGUCACUGCUUUCCAGAAAUCACUUCAAGCAUAGUUGGAAAAACAGCGAGAUGUACAGCUUUUGGCUUGACCAGGCACCUCCCCACCCCUCCUAUAAACUCUUUUAUGAAUCAUUAAUUAGUGGAAGCAGGUUCCCAUGGCUCAACGGCGGAGCAGUUAAAAAGCACAGGUCUCUAGGAUAAAAAGUGAGGUUUCUUUUUAAGAUGCCUCUUAAAUUUUGCAGACUUAAAGGAAAAUUUGCUCUGCAACCCCCCAUUUACUUUACAGCUGACGUACAACUCCCAGUAGGAAGAUUGAUUCCCAGUUAAACCCCGGUUACUGGAGCCAGGCUACAUUACGUGCUGGCAACGUGAGCCGCAGAGCUGCCCUCAUGCGUUGUGUGUGUAUCGAUCUGUCUGUAUGCAGCGCUGACACCUUUCAGCUUUUCCCUGCCAGUUUCCUUUGGUGUUCCAUCUUACAGCUCUACUAACCGUGGCUGAGUUUUUGCAGUGUCAUGAAAAUGAAGGCCUCCGAGUGCCCCGGAUAUAUUUCUGGGUCGCAGAGUGGCUGCACGCAAAAGACAGGAGCGCUGUGCUUUGAACACUAAUUAACAGUCUGGAGGUGAGGUCUCAGCUUGACAGCCAAAUUUAAUCACAGUUAUCUGUAUGCAGGAGAAGGCUGCUCUGAACCUCCACGAGGAUCUGGGAAGGCUGUGAACACAAGGACUUAAGCGAUAAUCAAGAUUUUUGGAAGGGAUGCAAUUUGUCAUUUUCCAGGGCAUAAGCCAGCCUCUCAACAGGAAAGGGCUGCAUGAAACUUGCAUUGCUGAAAAUUUUUUAGGCAUUAUGGCAUUACGCACAGUUCUCACGUGCCUGUUUGUAGUGCCAGGGAACGCGCACCAAAAGAGUGCUGACUACUUCUAUCUUAAGCUUGCCCCUUAUUUUCCAAGCUUGAUCUUGUCCCUGUGGACACCAGGACCUCCUGUUAUACUGCAGAAGCACUUGCUGACUUCUGCCGUAGUCCGCUCUCGAUAUGGCUGAGGAGAGAUGCUGUGCAGAUGAGACUGAAGCAGAGCUGUGCUCAGAUAAUUCUGCGUCUCAUUUAUGCCAGGAAAAAAAAAAUAAGUCAAGAGAGCCAAAAAGAGACAGGACAUGGCGACUGAUUUGGCAUCAGCAGGAUUACCUCAGAGAAAUGAGAACAGAUUUGGGCCUGCUAUCUUUCAAUGCCAGUGAGAAGUAAGUCUUAUCAAAACGAAGAGACACAUUUCAGGGCUCCCUCCUGCUGCUGCUGGGAGUGCCAAGACCAACUGUCCACACUCACUUCUCCUCUGGGGUGACCACAGUGGCUGGUGUGGAAAGUGUUUCUCGAGGUUCAGCUGUCUUCAGUGUGAGUCAGCAACAUGAGGUAAAGGAGUGGAGCCAGCACCCUGACAGAGCUGUGCUGCUGGGCUUGUCCCCAGAGCAAAGCCAUGAGGAGAGGCUUGAGUGGCUCUGGGUUGGAGAAGCUUCCUUGGAACUACUGGCCAUGUUGGUCUAGAGCUGGAAAGGCACCAAGUCUUUGCUUGCGCUUCUGGAGAGAUGCCAGACCGAGAGGACUUACAGGAAGGCCAAGGAUUGGAGUUCUGGCUUUCUGCUUAUCUUCAGCUCCUCUAAAGAUUGUUCUUGGUGCUUCCAUUGCAGAUGUGAGUCUGGGAGGACACUACAGCUGACUGCAGUACUGGCCAAUUUUGUUUUCCCUGAUUUAUGGCAGAGAAACCAAGUGGAUGAAACUUCAUCAGUUAAGAAGAGAUCACUAUAAAACAUUCUGCAUUUUAUUUCUGGUUCAUAUUCAGUGAUGCAGCCCCACACUAAGGGUGACCUCGUAUUAUUCUUCCUUCUUAUUGGUAACAGCUAUUUACCUUAAACAUCUGUCAGCAGUGGGGAACAAACCUGCCCUGUGGAAGUUUUGGUGCUUGACCCCAAACUCAAAGGCAAGAGUACUCAAAGGCAAAAUGCAUGGUACCAUGCCUAAUCUGUGCAGCUCUCCCUUUAGAAUAACAGAGCAGAAAAUGAAAAGUCAUAAUCAAAUUAGACAAUCUUGUGUUGUUGCCUAAUAAUAAUAAAAAGCCCUGCAUGAAUGUAUGGGAAUUCAGCUCUGAGAUCUGUGCUGUCUAUAUGGACAACUAAUGAGAUUGUUCUAACACCAAGAAAAAAGCACAAGUUUGAAGAUAGGCUGGACUGCUGCCCAGGUUUUUUACUUGAUUUCCUGUGCAUACACUAGCCUGUCACUUCUAAACCUGUUUUGCCUCUCACUUAGCAGUGGAGCUGUGCCUGGAUAAAAGCAUUAAAUAUGUACUAUCUAAAUAUUAGCUUUAUAAUGUGGAUCUGUUGCUUGCUCCCAGGGUAUCUCUCAAAAGCAAGUUGUUCUGUUUUGUUAUGUUGUCUAUUGAUCACUCCUGUUCGCUUUGGUAUUUUGAUGUUGCUGUUGUUGAUUUGCCUUGCUCUUGCAGAAAGUGUUGCCAAGCCAUUAGGAAACUGAAUUAUUAAACCUGAUUGAUUUUCCUUGACCAUGUAGUUGAUGCUAUCAUGUAGGGACCUUUGCCUUAAGCUAUGCAAGCAGGGUUUUGCUAAGUGCCUGACAGCUCUCCUCAUCCCUUUGCUUCAUUAUCUUCCCCCUCUUUUCUCCACCAUCAUUACGAAGAGGAGGACAUUCUGAAAACCAUUACAUGGAGUCAUUUUGUUUUACUGUCAGCCUCCCUUUGCUAACAGCCCCAAAAACGAUGGGAUUUUUCUUUCUUUUCGUUCUCGAGGUGCACAAACAGAUCAGCCCAUUUACUAACAGCCUCAGCGCUGACACCACUGUAUCCAUGGCAACGCAGCAGCCUGCGCAAAGCAUCCUCAGACACUUUGAAAAUCAGAAAUAUCAAGUGAUGACAAGGAGUCGCUGCAGACAAUAGAUGUUGAUGCGUUUCACAACCACCUGAAAUGCUUCUCUCUCCACCCAUCAGGUCCUUGAUUAUAACAUGCUUUGCAUUUCUCUUACAGCUCCUCUGUCAGGAUACAGGACUCAAGGCAGAAUUAAUCCCAGUUCUGACAUUUUUUUUUAUACUUGAACUGCUGGCUGAGGUAACUUACAGGAAUGAGCACCCCAAGUUGCUCUCUUGACUCUCCUCUUUGAACUGGGUUGGAGCACAGGCUCUCCAAAUGAAAAAUCCAAACUAAUAAUUGAAAAAGAUGUGGUCCCUAUUAGCCCCGUGUGUUUCGGAGCUAACACGUGUAGCUGUGUGACUGCUAGGCUGCUUUGUGAUCCGCCCAGGAGCUGCGUGAACUACUGCUUUCUUACUGUGACAGCGGAUUAGUAAGAUCUGAAACUUUUUAUAUAACUUCAUCUACCUGCUGGCAUGGCAGAGACUAUGCUAAAGCAACUACAGCUGCUUCUCUUCACAGAUCCCAUGGGUUCUUCAGCUCUGCUUUCAGGGAAGAACAUUCAGGUACACUGUCUGCAAUUCAGCAGCUGGUUGCAGCAAAUGUAUCAGUUCAUUAACCCAGGGGCUUACAUGGGGAAACAUCUCUAAUUCAGAUCAGAUAACUGCACAUGAAGUACUGAUUUGUGCUGCUAGAUAACCAUGUGCAAAUAUAUGGGCACAAGCUAGCAGGGAUUUAAAAUUGUUCUGUACGUGCUGCCAUUUAGGGGCACCUCAUCUCCACCCCUCAUCUUUCAUGUACAAAGCAGACCUUUGGAGUGAUGUGCUGGUGAUGACCCUGAAUGAGGAGCCAUUUUGUAAGACAGCAACCCCCCGGGUUAUCUUCAGGCAUUUAGAACCAUCUUCCUCAGGCCAGGGACUUAUUUCAGCCACACUAAGACAUGAUGGGUGUGUUCAGUGGUCAGGCUGAGGCCAUUCUCAGACCUAGACUACAACGCUGCAUUUGUUGUUUGCACGGAAGCUGAGUUUGAGGCAGAGUUUGAAGCUUGUUGAUGGGGAAGAGCCCAAACGCAUUUGGUAUUUAACCUCUAGCCACAGUUCUGGCAAGGCAGCGUGAUGUGAUCUACAGAUGAAUCUUCUCAACUUGUGUUUUCCUGAGGACUGUGAUCAAUGAGCCUGAAGCACUGCUGGGCUAGCAGCCACAAGGGCCUUCAGAAAGUGUGCGGAGACCAUGAGGCUACUUCCAAGUCUCUUGUUCCUUUGGGCAGACCCUGCCUCAUGGGCUUUACGUUCUUCUCCUGGCUGAUCCACAUAAGAGGGUGAGGUCUAUCACAGCCCUCUAUGAAUUGCCCUAAUUCUUCAGUGCUUUUAGGACUGCAGGAUGUGGACUCCUGUGCUCACUCCAGCCCUGGCCUGAAGGUAUGCAGUUUUGUCUUUUCCAAAACUAACUGAGGACUUGUAGCAGCAAACUGGCCACAUUUGUAGCCUAUGUGAAUAAACAGCCCCUCAUUCCGUCUGCAGAUGCCUCUCCUCUCUGAACAAAAAACAGCAGUGUUUUAUUCAGAGAAAGGGAAAAAGAAAUAGGAAACCCCAACCCCAAGAUGAACUAUGUUGCCCUGUAUUAUAGUGUUAACUUGAUUAGGCUAAUUUUUUUCAGCUGAUAAUUUAAGCUCUAGGCGUGGAAAAUAUAGUAACAUUUGCAUGUCUGAACAUAAGAAGAUGAGCAUAUUAAGAAGUAAAAAGCCUUAUCAAAAUUCCACAUUAAUAAAACAAGCUAUCAGUGCAUCAGAGAGUUGAAGAGCUUCCAUGUGCAAGCAUGCAAGUGUAGUAAUAGACUCCUGAGGUUUUAAUUCUCAGUAGAUACUGUUGGAAAAAAUCAGACUUUCCACUAGAACAGGAAAUUAAAUCUCAAAAAUAGGAUAUCCCUUAUGUUCUAACCAAUUUGAAUAUUUAGUAAUUUAUACAUCCCUUUUACUUUAAAAUGCAACUUUUCCAUAUCAUUUUCUACAGAUGCAACGUGCGAAGAGAUUUUGCCACUUAAACCUUAAUGUGUGUUCUGUUCAUCUUCAGCUGGGCGCUAGGGGGACCCUAGAGCUCUGUCAUUGUGAGAAAUCUCUCAGCCAAACCGAGGCAGUAAAUCGUGCCUUCACGGUCACCUUAGCCUAGGUGCUUCCAAGGGGAAAGGUGGCAAAAACUGCUCGACCGGUUGUGGCACAUGCCCAGAGACUGAGAACACGCCACCGGGAAAAGUGCACAAAAGCACCACAGAGCUUCCAUCGCUUCAUAAUUCUGGUUUCUGCUUGUAGCCCUUCCGAUCAUGAAUAAAUGAGUUGGCUUUGACUUGACUGCUCUGUUCACUUAGCUAAUGCUGUGACAUUGGCAUCGAGUCUUGGGUCAUACUGUUUUUGAGAGAUUAAAUGUUUCCUUUUCGGUUCUGAAGGGAAGCCAAACACCUAGGUUGCCAACAAUUACAGCUCGAUAAACUGGCAGAGGAGAAGCAGGAGUUUGCUGUUAUAGCUGUAUAGUCUAAAGAAUGUAUAUUGACGUGGUCCCUUUUGGAGCGUGGUAUUUCUCAGCUGCUAUUUCAAAUGAAUCACUUUAGAAAAGACUACAGACAAUGCCCUUCCUUCUUCUUUUAGCAGGCAGGCAAAAAUUCUCUGUAUUUCACAUACUAGACCUUCCUAUAGCCAUUCGCAAUUCAGUGUGUCAAAGCUUUACUAUAAAGCUCAUCAUUUGUGAGGUUAUGUAAAAAUCUCCUUUGUAAAAAAAUCUUUCCCCACUAUCUCUUAGUGGGAUGAUGCUUUUUGAUCUCUGCAUGAAUAUUUCUAAUAAAGAUACGUGUGUGUAUCUUAACAUCUCUAACAUAAA